rnacentral:rRNA from 1 species
UACGUGAGGGGCGAACGUUGUUCGGUGUCACUGGGCUUAAAGGGUGCGUAGGUGGUUGCGUAAGUAAGGUGUGAAAUCCCUCGGCUUACCCGGGGAAUUGCAUUUUAUACUGCGUGGCUUGAGGACUAAAGGGGAAAAGGGAACUCCAGGUGUAGCGGUGAAAUGCGCAGAUAUCUGGGGGAAGGCCGGCGGCGAAGGCGCUUUUCUGGUUAGUACCUGACACUGAGGCACGAAAGCGUGGGGAGCAAACAGGG